rnacentral:rRNA from 1 species
AUUGAACGCUGGCGGCAGGCCUAACACAUGCAAGUCGAGCGAGCGGCGGACGGGUGAGUAAUGCCUGGGAAUUGCCCAGUCGAGGGGGAUAACAGUUGGAAACGACUGCUAAUACCGCAUACGAUGGGAUUGCACAGGGGGGAUUAGUUAGUUGGUGGGGUAAUGGCUCACAAAGGCGCCGAUCCCUAGCUGGUCUGAGAGGAUGAUCAGCCACUCUGGAACUUAGACACGGUCAAGACUCCUACGGUAGGCAGCAUUGGGGAAUAUUGCACAAUGUGUGAAACCCUGAUGCAGCCAUGCCGCGUGUGUGAAGAAGGCCUUCGGGUUGUAAAGCACUUUCAGCGAGGAGGCGUUACUCGCAGAAGAAGCACCGGCUAACUCCGUGCCAGCAGCCGCGGUAAUUC